CACGUAGGGGACGAGCGUUGUCUGGAUUCAUUGGGCGUAAAGCGCGCGUAGGCGGCUCGGAAAGUCGGUCGUGAAAUGCCGGGGCUCAACCCCGGGACUGCGUCCGAUACUCCCGAGCUGGAGGCAGGUAGGGGAGAUCGGAAUUCCUGGUGUAGCGGUGAAAUGCGUAGAUAUCAGGAGGAACACCGGUGGUGUAGACGGCUUUCUGGACCGUAACUGACGCUGAGACACGAAAGCGUGGGUAGCAAACAGG
rnacentral:rRNA from 1 species